rnacentral:lncRNA from 1 species
CUUGUCUUCCUGCUGCAGAGAGGGGGACGGCUUUACAGAGACUUCCGUUACACAUGGAAACAUCCCGUACGACAGGACCACUCAUGCUCUGUUUUCAGAGGUUCUCCUGUGUCUGCUGUUUCUCAGAAUAAUCCUUAUGCCAAGAGGCAUGUUUUGGAGUGGGUGUGCUGCUCCCCUUCAAUCCUUCAGCAGAUGAUUAAAUUUAGCAUCAACAGUAAUGCCCUACAAAGGAUACAACAUCAUUUCUGUGGUCUUUCUCAAACACCCAAAAAGCAUAACCUGGAUUUCAUUGUGAGGAAACACCAGACAAAUCCAAACUGCGGGACAUUCUACAAAAUCACCGGCUUUUGCUGUUCAAAAUAUAUGGUAUGACUCCACUUAGAUACAGGGAAGAAAGGGCUUGACGGGAGGAGUCCAAUGUGCUUUCUUGUCCAAGAAAGACCACACACGCAAGGUCCUGAGCGAAGCGUAACUCCCCUGUCCAAAAUGAACACAGCAGGCUGACAUUCCCAUUAAUUUGGCAGAUGAAGAAACCAGGAAGGAAAAAAGUUCAGGCAGGCCUGGGUCAAAGUGACUUUCAUCAAAAGAAGAACCAGAAAAAACGCAGAGUGACAUCAGCAAGAUGGCGAAACAGGAGUUUCCAGCCCUAAUGCUCCCCAUAAACACGGAUUUCACAACUGUCCAU